rnacentral:rRNA from 1 species
UACGCAGGGGGCAAGCGUUGUCCGGAUUUAUUGGGCGUAAAGAGCGUGUAGGCGGCUUGGUAGGUCUCGCGUCAAAACCUGAGGCUCAACCUCAGUUCGCGUGGGAAACCACCUAGCUAGAGUCCGGAAGAGGAGAACGGAAUUCCCAGUGUAGCGGUGAAAUGCGCAGAUAUUGGGAAGAACACCAGUGGCGAAGGCGGUUCUCUGGGACGGUACUGACGCUGAGACGCGAAAGCGUGGGGAGCGAACAGG